rnacentral:misc_RNA from 1 species
AACCUAGCACACCUGCGGUGUGUACCUGCGGAAGGAUCAUUACCGAGUUUACAACUCCCAAACCCCUGUGAACAUACCUAUACGUUGCCUCGGCGGAUCAGCCCGCGCCCUGUAAAAAGGGACGGCCCGCCCGAGGACCCUAAACUCUGUUUUUAGUGGAACUUCUGAGUAAAACAAACAAAUAAAUCAAAACUUUUAGCAAUGGAUCU